UUGCUUUAGCAGCAUAUAUACCAACAGAGAGAACAAUACAGAGAAGAUUAGCAUGGCCCCUGCUCAAGGCCAACACGAAAUCCAUGAAGCAUUCCAUAUGUAA
rnacentral:snRNA from 1 species